ensembl:lncRNA
AGCGUGUUCCACAGAGUCUCAUCAGGCACUGUUCAGGUGAGCAGUAUUUCUCUUAACAAUCAGAAGGUAAUGUGAUGAUACUGUAACCAAAAGUAUUAGCCUAUCGCUAUCUUUACUUACUUAUCCUUUCCUCUUAAGGUUUGGUUUUAGGCAGGUUGUGAAUCUGCUUGGAACAAAAGGUUAGCUCUGCUCUAGCCAGGAUACAUUUCUCCUGGCACCAGUCAUCCAAGCUGCCCUCGGAAAUGGCGCGAAAUUGCGCUCUAGUCGAACUGUUUACGCCUGCCAUGUUGGCGCAGUAGUUGAACUGUUUCCGCCCGCCAUGUUGGCGAGGUAGUUGAACUGUUUCCGCCCGCCAUGUUGGCGCGGUAGUUAAACUGUUUCCGCCCGCCAAGUUGGUGCUACCUUGUUUAUUUUGCUAACAGGAUUGCUGCUGCUGCUCCUGUAGCAUUUCCCAAACAGGCUGGUCAGUGAAAAAAGUUCGUCUGUUGAGUGCUGUCAGGGUUUGUCCCUAAAUUUUGUGAAGACUAAACUGGAAGAAAAGAGGAAUCGGUUGGCAGACUGGGACCUCCUGCGUCACAUCUUCACUAAGGGCAAGCCAAAGGCUGACAGCUUUGUUUGUGUUCUCCACUAAGUGAUUUUUAAUCAACUGGUCUGCAUGAGUCCUCCCAAGGGCCUGAGCGGCAGAGGCUGUGAGAGAUUGAGCAGAGGGCUGGUGGAUGGCUGGCCGGAGAUAGUAGAGACAGACAAAGUGGCAUUUCCUGACUGUUCCCAUCCCCGUCUGAGUUAUCUGACACCCAAAAAUACGGCUAACGGGGAAGCAGGGAGACGAGGCACCCACAGCCUUAUCCCGGAACAAGGUUUCAGAGCGAUGAUAACUUUUCGAGAGGAUGAGAGGAUGCACCAUCAAAACUGCAGUUCAGGCCACGUCCUUGCACAUCCAGCCUGCCUCUCUGCCCCCUAUCCACCUGCUCCUCUCUCCCUGCUGCCUUACCUGUACUCACCUGUGUCUGUCUGUGCAGUGACUGAUCUGGCAGAAUAUGAUAGCAUGGGCUGUCACGGCAAUAAUUAGGCCUAUUUUCCGUGAGGUCAUCUUACAGGGACGCUGGGCGGCUGUGGUUCACACACAGGGUGCUCUGUGCUGCUCCUGCCCCAGAGCCCCCAGGAUAUGAUCGUCCACACAGGGCAACAAAGAAUCACUCCGCAGCAAAUGAACGAAACAUAAAACACCUACAAUCUGAUAUGGACUGUGGUUCCCAACGCUUUAUACGCUGGGAGAGUUUGCCUCGCUGGGCUUUCACAGCUCCGAAUCAAGCAGGCUUUUAUCAAACUGUGUCCCGUCUAAAAUAUUAAACAAGAUCUGAAGGAGGAUUAAGUUGUCAAGGGAAUUACCUGUGAUGGAUUUCAAAGGGAGAGCCCCAUUUCUGUUUGUUUUCUGCACCAAGGUCGAGUAAUUGAUGUGAAAACUUUAAGUCUAAAUAAAACCGUCAAGUGUGAGGUAGACAUGAGGGUAUUUGGUGCUGCUAGCAGAAAGCCAACAGUGCCAAGUCAGAGCGCAACAUAUUUCAGCUCCAUUCAGAACACUCCCUGGUUGGGUCAACAGCUGCAGGCUAGAAUUAGAAAUCAAUUAUUCAGCUUCGACAAGCUCAUUAAGUCUCUGAAUAGGAUUUUCUGUUCUGAGUCUGCCUGCUCAUUUCUCCUAGCUUGCAGUUUCUAAUUAGUAUUUCUUUUCUCUUUAAAGUUUGAUGGGAGUUUGGGUAAAAAAAAAAAAAAAACGUGGGCACUG